UACAGAGGGUGCAAGCGUUAAUCGGAAUUACUGGGCGUAAAGCGCGCGUAGGUGGUUUAGUAAGUUGGAUGUGAAAUCCCCGGGCUCAACCUGGGAAUUGCAUUCAAAACUGCUCGGCUAGAGUAUGGUAGAGGAAAGCGGAAUUCCAGGUGUAGCGGUGAAAUGCGUAGAUAUCUGGAGGAACAUCAGUGGCGAAGGCGGCUUUCUGGACUAAUACUGACACUGAGGUGCGAAAGCGUGGGGAGCAAACAGG
rnacentral:rRNA from 1 species